UGGGGAAUUUUGGACUAUGGGGGAAACCCUGAUCCAGCCAUCCCGCGUGUGCGAUGAAGGCCUUCGGGUUGUAAAGCACUUUUGGCAGGAAAGAAACGUCAUGGGUUAAUACCCCGUGAAACUGACGGUACCUGCAGAAUAAGCACCGGCUAACUACGUGCCAGCAGCCGCGGUAAUACGUAGGGUGCAAGCGUUAAUCGGAAUUACUGGGCGUAAAGCGUGCGCAGGCGGUUCGGAAAGAAAGAUGUGAAAUCCCAGAGCUCAACUUUGGAACUGCAUUUUUAACUACCGGGCUAGAGUGUGUCAGAGGGAGGUGGAAUUCCGCGUGUAGCAGUGAAAUGCGUAGAUAUGCGGAGGAACACCGAUGGCGAAGGCAGCCUCCUGGGAUAACACUGACGCUCAUGCACGAAAGCGUGGGGAGCAAACAGG
rnacentral:rRNA from 1 species